rnacentral:rRNA from 1 species
UCCUACGGGAGGCAGCAGUGGGGAAUCUUAGACAAUGGGGGCAACCCUGAUCUAGCCAUGCCGCGUGAGUGAUGAAGGCCUUAGGGUCGUAAAGCUCUUUCGCCUGUGAUGAUAAUGACAGUAGCAGGUAAAGAAACCCCGGCUAACUCCGUGCCAGCAGCCGCGGUAAUACGGAGGGGGUUAGCGUUGUUCGGAAUUACUGGGCGUAAAGCGCGCGUAGGCGGACUAUUAAGUCAGGGGUGAAAUCCCGGGGCUCAACCCCGGAACUGCCUUUGAUACUGGUAGUCUUGAGUUCGAGAGAGGUGAGUGGAAUUCCGAGUGUAGAGGUGAAAUUCGUAGAUAUUCGGAGGAACACCAGUGGCGAAGGCGGCUCACUGGCUCGAUACUGACGCUGAGGUGCGAAAGUGUGGGGAGCAAACAGGAUUAGAUACCCUGGUAGUCCACACCGUAAACGAUGAAUGCCAGACGUCGGGGGGCUUGCCCUUCGGUGUCACACCUAACGGAUUAAGCAUUCCGCCUGGGGAGUACGGUCGCAAGAUUAAAACUCAAAGGAAUUGACGGA